rnacentral:rRNA from 1 species
GAUGAACGCUGGCGGCGUGCCUAAUACAUGCAAGUCGAGCGAACGGACGAGAAGCUUGCUUUUCUGAUGUUAGCGGCGGACGGGUGAGUAACACGUGGAUAACCUACCUAUAAGACUGGGAUAACUUCGGGAAACCGGAGCUAAUACCGGAUAAUAUUUUGAACCGCAUGGUUCAAAAGUGAGAGACGGUCUUGCUGUCACUUAUAGAUGGAUCCGCGCUGCAUUAGCUAGUUGGUAAGGUAACGGCUUACCAAGGCAACGAUGCAUAGCCGACCUGAGAGGGUGAUCGGCCACACUGGAACUGAGACACGGUCCAGACUCCUACGGGAGGCAGCAGUAGGGAAUCUUCCGCAAAGGGCGAAAGCCUGACGGAGCAACGCCGCGUGAGUGAUGAAGGUCUUCGGAUCGUAAAACUCUGUUAUUAGGGAAGAACAUAUGUGUAAGUAACUGUGCACAUCUUGACGGUACCUAAUCAGAAAGCCACGGCUAACUACGUG